GUGCUUGCCUUGGUAGUGCAUAUACUAAAGCUGGAAUGAUACAGAGAAGAUUAUCACGGCCCCUGAACAAGGAUGACAUUCAAAUUCGUGAAGCGUUCCAUUUUUUA
ensembl:snRNA U6 U6 spliceosomal RNA